rnacentral:rRNA from 1 species
UACGUAGGGGGCAAGCGUUUGUCCGGAAUCAUUGGGCGUAAAGAGCGCGUAGGCGGCCCAGUAAGUCCGCUCUGAAAGUCAGAGGCUCAACCUCUGAAUGCGGGUGGAUACUGCUGGGCUAGAGUCCGGAAGAGGCGAGUGGAAUUCCUGGUGUAGCGGUGAAAUGCGCAGAUUAUCAGGAGGAACACCGGUGGCGAAGGCGGUGGUCUGGGCCGGCACUGACGCUGAGGAGCGAAAGCGUGGGGAGCGAACGG